rnacentral:rRNA from 1 species
GACCAUACUCCCCCCGGANCCCAAAAACUUUGAUUUCUCAUAAGGUGCCGGCGGUGUCCUAAAAGCAACAUCCGCCGAUCCCUGGUCGGCAUCGUUUAUGGUUGAGACUAGGACGGUAUCUGAUCGUCUUCGAGCCCCNAACUUUCNUUNUUGNUUAAUGAAAACAUCCUUGGCAAAUGCUUUCGCAGUUGUUCGUCUUUCAUAAAUCCAAGAAU